GACCCCUUAGCUCAGUGGUAGAGUGUGUGAUUCCAGCCUUCGCCAGAGUUUCCACAAAGUCAUCCGUUCAAGUCGGGUAGGGGUCA